CCUACGGGGGGCAGCAGUGGGGAAUUUUGGACAAUGGGGGCAACCCUGAUCCAGCCAUUCCGCGUGAGUGAAGAAGGCCUUCGGGUUGUAAAGCUCUUUCAGCAGGAACGAAACGGUGGUCCCUAAUACGGGCUGCUAAUGACGGUACCUGAAGAAGAAGCACCGGCUAACUACGUGCCAGCAGCCGCGGUAAUACGUAGGGUGCGAGCGUUAAUCGGAAUUACUGGGCGUAAAGCGUGCGCAGGCGGUUAUAUAAGACAGAUGUGAAAUCCCCGGGCUUAACCUGGGAACUGCGUUUGUGACUGUAUAACUCGAGUGUGGCAGAGGGGGGUGGAAUUCCACGUGUAGCAGUGAAAUGCGUAGAGAUGUGGAGGAACACCGAUGGCGAAGGCAGCCCCCUGGGUCAACACUGACGCUCAUGCACGAAAGCGUGGGGAGCAAACAGGAUUAGAUACCCGAGUAGUC
rnacentral:rRNA from 1 species